rnacentral:piRNA from 1 species
UCGUUGCAAAGCCUAACUAGGCUACCCUA